GAUGAACGCUGGCGGCGUGCCUAAUACAUGCAAGUCGAGCGAACAGACGAGGAGCUUGCUCCUCUGACGUUAGCGGCGGACGGGUGAGUAACACGUGGAUAACCUACCUAUAAGACUGGGAUAACUUCGGGAAACCGGAGCUAAUACCGGAUAAUAUAUUGAACCGCAUGGUUCAAUAGUGAAAGACGGUUUUGCUGGCACUUAUAGAUGGAUCCGCGCCGCAUUAGCUAGUUGGUAAGGUAACGGCUUACCAAGGCAACGAUGCGUAGCCGACCUGAGAGAGUGAUCGGCCACACUGGAACUGAGACGCGGUCCAGACUCCUACGGGAGGCAGCAGUAGGGAAUCUUCCGCAAUGGGCGAAAGCCUGACGGAGCAACGCCGCGUGAGUGAUGAAGGUCUUCGGAUCGUAAAACUCUGUUAUUAGGGAAGAACAAAUGUGUAAGUAACUAUGCACGUCUUGACGGUACCUAAUCAGAAAGCCACGGCUAACUACGUG
rnacentral:rRNA from 1 species